UGGGAAUAUUGCACAAUGGGCGCAAGCCUGAUGCAGCAACGCCGCGUGAGGGAUGACGGCCUUCGGGUUGUAAACCUCUUUUAGCAGGGAAGAAGCGAGAGUGACGGUACCUGCAGAAAAAGCACCGGCUAACUACGUGCCAGCAGCCGCGGUAAUACGUAGGGUGCAAGCGUUAUCCGGGAUUAUUGGGCGUAAAGAGCUCGUAGGCGGUUUGUCGCGUCUGCUGUGAAAACCCGAGGCUCAACCUCGGGCCUGCAGUGGGUACGGGCAGACUAGAGUGCGGUAGGGGAGAUUGGAAUUCCUGGUGUAGCGGUGGAAUGCGCAGAUAUCAGGAGGAACACCGAUGGCGAAGGCAGAUCUCUGGGCCGUAACUGACGCUGAGGAGCGAAAGGGUGGGGAGCAAACAGGCUUAGAUACCCUGGUAGUCCACCCGUAAACGUUGGGAACUAGUUGUGGGGUCCAUUCCACGGAUUCCGUGACGCAGCUAACGCAUUAAC
rnacentral:rRNA from 1 species